rnacentral:lncRNA from 1 species
GUUCUUCAUGUUCCGCUAUUUCUAGCUGUUGGCCCUACUCCUUUCUGUGCCUAAAUGCCCUACCUCCCACUCCUUUUCUGAGAAAGAUCUUCUGCCCUGUCAGUUAUGAAGUAAAGACAUCCUGAGAUUCCUGCUCUUUCUUUUUUCUUUCUUUCUUUCUCUCUUUUUUUUUUUUUUGAUGGAGUUUUGCUCUUGUUGCCCAGGCUGGAGUGCAAUGGCGCAAUCUCAACUCACUGCAGCCUCCGCCACCCAGGCCCACCUCGGUCUCCCAAAGUGCUGGCAUUACAGGUGUGAGCCACCAUGCCCGGCCUCCUGCUCUUCUUUCAACCCUCUGCUCAGCAUCUUAGGCCUCACUGGUGAUGUCCCACCUUGCUAGGUAGCAUCUUUCGUGAAUAUUUCUCCACCAAACAUUCUGUUGUUGGCUAGAUGGCCUAGUUAAUCUACACAUUUCAUUUUAUCACCUUCUCCAGAUGUUUUUUUGUGUAUGCCAGCCAAUACAUUCUGGGGAGAAUGCCUUAAUAUAUGGGAAUAAUUAACUCGUGGCCAAGAAGGAAAUAACCAAGGGGACUUUUACUCUGAACCUAAUUCAAACCAAAGAGACAGCCUGAGAGAAAGCAGCUCUGUCAUCCUUGAGUUAGGAACAUCCAGGAAGGGAAGGCUAGGGUGGGGGAGUGAGUAAAACAGAUGGCAUUUAGGGAAGAACCAACAGGACUUUAAGAGGCAUGGCAGAGGGGCUUUGAUCCUGGCUAAACCAUCAGGGAAGGCAAUUGGAGCUGGGUGAACAGAUGGGGCCUUGUUACUGAAGAGAAAACGGUAAGGAGGCAGGGGGAAAUGGGACGUGUGCUAUAGCAGAGUGCCUCAUUCAGUGGAUGCAGUGAGAGCAGAGGCUGUUGGAAAAGUGGAUCAGGGGAGGACCAUGCCACCAGGUGGGCAUCAGCAGAGUAUCACCCGAGUAUUGCAGAGGGAUACCAAAUAAGUCCACAUGGAGCCAGAACUGAAACCCUUUGGAGGUCAGUUUACCCCUUCAGAAGUAGUGUACCACCAUCCAUCUACCACUGGAAUCCAAUUUCAGUUUUGGCAAAUUGUUAUAAAUAGGAAAAAGUCAGGGUUCCACAAUUCUGGCAGCACCCAGAGACUAUAACAGCAUCUGCACAGCCAAGCAGUUAGGAAACCUGGAUCCUAAUCCUGACUUUGCCUCUGAUUAGAUGUGUGACCCUGGGCUGGAGCUGUUUCUUCAGUUGUAAAAUGCUGUUUAUUGAUGUUAGGUAGCAGCUAAUAAGGAUGGAGGUGGAGCUGGGUACAGUGGCUCACACCUGUAAUCUCAGCAGUUUGACAGGCCAAGGCAGGAGGAUUGCUUGAGGCCAGGGAUUUGAGACCAGCUUGGGCUACACAGUGAGACUCUGCCUCUACUAAAAAGUAAAAAAAAAAAUAACUCAGUGCAGUGAUGCAUGCCUGUAGUUCCAGCUACUCAGGAGGUUGGGGUAGGAGGGUUGCUUGAGCCCAGGAGUUUGAGGCUGCAGUGAACUAUGAUCAAUCACACCACUGCAUUCUAGUAGCCUGAGUGACAGAGCAAGACCUGUCUCUAAAAAAAAAGAAAUUUUUUUUUUAAGGGUGGAGGUAAGGAAAUUCAAAGCUACUUACUAGCUGUGUGACCUUGCCUAAACUACCUUCUUGGAUUUGCAGUCUGUUUAUUUGAAAAUGUCAUAAGGGAUAAAUGAGAUUCCUUAUGUAAAGUACUUUAUAAAUAUUAAGCACUUACCAAAUGUUAGUCUGUUUUCACAUUAUUCUUCUUGGAUUACCAGAAAUUGGUUUGACUAUGAAUAAACAGGAGAUAAUUUCUUGGGUAAUCUGAGUUUGAAUCCCCCUUCUCUCUCUUACUAAUUGUAUGACUUUGAUUAGGUUAUUUAAUAUUUAAUUGUUCUGGGUCUCAGUUUUCUCAUCUGUGAAAUUAAAAUGAUGUGUUCUUCAGAAUUGUGAGGGUUAAAUGUGAUAAAAGUCCUGACUCGUGAGAAAAUGCUCAA